GUGUCAGCCGCCGCGGUAAUACGUAGGGGGCAAGCGUUGUCCGGAUUUAUUGGGCGUAAAGAGCGUGUAGGCGGCCUGACAGGUCUGCUGUGAAAACUCGAGGCUCAACCUCGAGAUGUCGGCGGAAACCGUCUGGCUAGAGUCCGGAAGAGGAGAGUGGAAUUCCUGGUGUAGCGGUGAAAUGCGCAGAUAUCAGGAAGAACACCUAUGGCGAAGGCAGCUCUCUGGGACGGUACUGACGCUGAGACGCGAAAGCGUGGGGAGCGAACAGGAUUAGAAACCCCCGUAGUCC
rnacentral:rRNA from 1 species